rnacentral:tRNA from 1 species
GGGGAUGUGGUGAAAUAGGUAUACACGAGGGACUUAAAAUCCCUUGGAUGAUGAGUCCGUGCGGGUUCAAGUCCCGCCAUCCCCACCA